rnacentral:tRNA from 1 species
GAAACUACAGUACGUGAACUGAUUGCAAUUACCUCUGCUAAUAACAUUAGUGGUGUACCUGUUGUUAAAGACG